AGUGAACGCUGGCGGUAGGCCUAACACAUGCAAGUCGAACGGCAGCACAGUAAGAGCUUGCUCUUACGGGUGGCGAGUGGCGGACGGGUGAGGAAUACAUCGGAAUCUACUUUUUCGUGGGGGAUAACGUAGGGAAACUUACGCUAACACCGCAUACGACCUACGGGUGAAAGCAGGGGAUCUUCGCACCUUGCGCGAUUGAAUGAGCCGAUGUCGGAUUAGCUAGUUGGCGGGGUAAAGGCCCACCAAGGCGACGAUCCGUAGCUGGUCUGAGAGGAUGAUCAGCCACACUGGAACUGAGACACGGUCCAGACUCCUACGGGAGGCAGCAGUGGGGAAUAUUGGACAAUGGGCGCAAGCCUGACCCAGCCAUGCCGCGUGAGUGAAGAAGGCCUUCGGAUUGUAAAGCCCUUUUGUUGGGAAAGAAAAACAGCAGAUGAAUACCCCGCUGUUCUGACGGUACCCAAAGAAUAAGCACCGGCUAACUUCGUG
rnacentral:rRNA from 1 species